rnacentral:rRNA from 1 species
CAACUCUCAACAACGGAUAUCUUGGCUCUCAGAUCGAUGAAGAACGCAGCGAAAUGCGAUACGUAGUGUGAAUUGCAGAAAUACGUGAAUCAUCGAAUCUUUGAACGCAAAUUGCGCUCGAGGCUUCGGCCAAGAGCAUGUCUGCCUUAGCGUCGGGUU